rnacentral:rRNA from 1 species
UCAGGACGAACGCUGGCGGCGUGCUUAACACAUGCAAGUCGAACGAUGAUCCGGUGCUUGCACCGGGGAUUAGUGGCGAACGGGUGAGUAACACGUGAGUAACCUGCCCUUGACUCUGGGAUAAGCCUGGGAAACCGGGUCUAAUACCGGAUACGACCUUACACCGCAUGGUGGUUGGUGGAAAGAUUUUUUGGUUUUGGAUGGACUCGCGGCCUAUCAGCUUGUUGGUGAGGUAAUGGCUCACCAAGGCGACGACGGGUAGCCGGCCUGAGAGGGUGACCGGCCACACUGGGACUGAGACACGGCCCAGACUCCUACGGGAGGCAGCAGUGGGGAAUAUUGCACAAUGGGCGAAAGCCUGAUGCAGCGACGCCGCGUGAGGGAUGACGGCCUUCGGGUUGUAAACCUCUUUCAGCAGGGAAGAAGCGAAAGUGACGGUACCUGCAGAAGAAGCGCCGGCUAACUACGUGCCAGCAGCCGCGGUAAUACGUAGGGCGCAAGCGUUGUCCGGAAUUAUUGGGCGUAAAGAGCUCGUAGGGCGGUUUGUCGCGUCUGCUGUGAAAGCCCGGGGCUCAACCCCGGGUCUGCAGUGGGUACGGGCAGACUAGAGUGCAGUAGGGGAGACUGGAAUUCCUGGUGUAGCGGUGAAAUGCGCAGAUAUCAGGAGGAACACCGAUGGCGAAGGCAGGUCUCUGGGCUGUAACUGACGCUGAGGAGCGAAAGCAUGGGGAGCGAACAGGAUUAGAUACCCUGGUAGUCCAUGCCGUAAACGUUGGGCACUAGGUGUGGGGGACAUUCCACGUUUUCCGCGCCGUAGCUAACGCAUUAAGUGCCCCGCCUGGGGAGUACGGCCGCAAGGCUAAAACUCAAAGGAAUUGACGGGGGCCCGCACAAGCGGCGGAGCAUGCGGAUUAAUUCGAUGCAACGCGAAGAACCUUACCAAGGCUUGACAUGGACCGGACCGCCGCAGAAAUGCGGUUUCCCUUCGGGGCUGGUUUACAGGUGGUGCAUGGUAGUCGUCAGCUCGUGUCGUGAGAUGUUGGGUUAAGUCCCGCAACGAGCGCAACCCUCGUUCUAUGUUGCCAGCGCGUUAUGGCGGGGACUCAUAGGAGACUGCCGGGGUCAACUCGGAGGAAGGUGGGGACGACGUCAAAUCAUCAUGCCCCUUAUGUCUUGGGCUUCACGCAUGCUACAAUGGCCGGUACAAAGGGUUGCGAUACUGUGAGGUGGAGCUAAUCCCAAAAAGCCGGUCUCAGUUCGGAUUGAGGUCUGCAACUCGACCUCAUGAAGUCGGAGUCGCUAGUAAUCGCAGAUCAGCAACGCUGCGGUGAAUACGUUCCCGGGCCUUGUACACACCGCCCGUCAAGUCACGAAAGUUGGUAACACCCGAAGCCGGUGGCCUAACCCCUUGUGGGGAGGGAGCCGUCGAAGGUGGGACCGGC